rnacentral:rRNA from 1 species
CGGACGGGUGAGUAACGCGUGAGGGAGGAAGGCUCUUGGGUUGUAAACCUCUUUUGUCAGGGAAGAACACACUGACCGUACCUGAAGAAUCAUGAUCUGCUAACUCCGUGCCAAUUUCCGCGGUAAUACGGGGGAUGCAAGCGUUAUCCGGAAUUAUUGGGCGUAAAGCGUCCGCAGGUGGCUAAUCAAGUCUGCUGUCAAAGGUUGGGGCUUAACCCCUAUUGGGCCUGGGAAACUGAGAAGCUAGAGUGCUUCAGGGAUAUAGGGAAUUCCCGGUGUACCGGUGAAAUGCGUACAUAUCUGGAAGAACACCGGUGGCGACAGCGCUCUGCUAAGCCGCAACUGACACUGAGGGACGAAACCUAGGGGAGCGAAUGGGAUUAGAUACCCCAGUAGUC